rnacentral:rRNA from 1 species
CCUACGGGUGGCUGCAGUCGAGAAUCUUCGGCAAUGGGCGCAAGCCUGACCGAGCGACGCCGCGUGCGGGAUGAAGGCCCUCGGGUUGUAAACCGCUGUCAGGGGGGAUGAAAUUCCAUGGGGUUCUCCCCAUGGAUUGACAGAGCCCCAGAGGAAGCACGGGCUAAGUUCGUGCCAGCAGCCGCGGUAAUACGAACUGUGCGAACGUUAUUCGGAAUCACUGGGCUUACAGGGUGUGUAGGCGGCCUGUUAAGCAGGGUGUGAAAUCCUCCGGCUCAACCGGGGAACGGCGCUCUGGACUGGCGGGCUUGAGUGCGCUAGGGGUGUGUGGAACUUCCAGUGGAGCGGUGAAAUGUGUUGAUAUUGGAAGGAACACCGGUGGCGAAAGCGACACACUGGGGCGUAACUGACGCUGAGACACGAAAGCCAGGGGAGCGAAC